ACGGAAAGAGCUUGCUCUUUUUCAGAAUUGAGUGGCAAACGGGUGAGUAACACGUAAACAACCUGCCUUCAGGAUGGGGACAACAGACGGAAACGACUGCUAAUACCGCAUAACACUUAUUUAGGGCAUCUUAAAUAAGUCAAAGAUUUAUUGCUGAGAGAUGGGCUCGCGUCUGAUUAGCUAGUUGGUGGGGUAACGGCCCACCAAGGCGACGAUCAGUAGCCGGACUGAGAGGUUGAACGGCCACAUUGGGACUGAGAUACGGCCCAGACUCC
rnacentral:rRNA from 1 species